rnacentral:siRNA from 1 species
UGGUAGUUCAAGUAUUCCA